CCCUGGAAUACAUUAGCGCGCUCAGUGUCACACCCAUCAGCGGCCCUAACAGGAAACACCUGACAAUAGAGAAGGAUGAAAACGAGUGUUCCAGAGGAGAAGCUGAUUGGCCAAGGCACUUUCCGCUUCUCCAUUCUCUGGCCGUUGACUACAGCUUGUGCUCUGACUCCCUUGGGAUCGAUUUCCUUACUGCCAAGGCAGGGGGCUCCGGCUGCGCUAGGGCCCAAAAGGCGGAUCCGUAGGACCAAUUCGUUGCCGUAGGCCCCCUGACAAGCCUCUGGUUCUUCAAGCCAGUUAUAAUUGCGGUUUAGCUGUCCUGUGUGGCACUGCCUGGGACCUUCCCUGAGGCAAAAAGGUAAUUAUUUAAUUUUAG